rnacentral:tRNA from 1 species
AUUAAGGUGUCUGAUAAAAGUAAUAAACUGUAAAUUUAUAAAUGGAAAAUUAACCUCUUAAUA